rnacentral:lncRNA from 1 species
ACACUACUUGAUCUUAUCUGAGCAGAGGAAGCCACGGCGCGUUUGUUGCCUUUCCUAUCCUUUCAUUUGCAGCGGCGACGGUGGCGGCGGAGCCUCCGUCAUUGGCGGCUCUGCCCCCGGGCCCGCCGCGACUGAAAGACGAAAUUCGCCGUCGGAACCCUGCAAUGAAGACUGCCCGCGGUCAGAGCCCCUUUCUCUGUUUCACAUUGCUUGGGGCAGUGAUGGCCACGCGGGCUCAACAAAUUUAUCAUUCCCUACUGUUUAUUUUUUCUUUUUGUGAAUUGUCGGUGCCGUGUUGUUUAGUCGAGCUUUGAUGUUUUGUGCAUUUCUUUUGUUUGUUAAUUAAUGCCAGUUUUCUGUUUUUGGAUAUAAUUAUGCUAUAUUUUUUCUUAUGAAGUUUGAUUUAACUAUUUUUUUAAUUGUUUGUUCUUUUUUUAAAAUGUAUAUUGUUCACAUCUCUAAUUUUUGGAGGCUGAUCUCUGUUUAAGAUGUUUGCAAAUUAGGAGUGUAUUUUUAUUUAUUUUAUUUAUUCACUUCUUUUGUAGCUGAUUAAUUGGUUUGGCAGGUUAAGUAUGGCAUAGGCAUCUGAAGCUUCAUAAGGCAUGAGGAGAUUUUCAUGCGAUGCGUGUCAUGCUUAAUGGUAUUUUGAUCUGUAUCUUUAUAUUAUUAAACUUAUACUCAUGAGCCUGCUUGUAAUUUAAUUUAGUACACCCAAUUUAUACGUAUCCAUUAUUCCAUUUGGUAUAAUAAUCGUCAACCUCAAACUUGAAUUACUAGUGUGUGUAUAUAUAGUCACGCGUAAGAACUAGCUUCCAAUUGGUACAAUACAAUUUUGGGUUCAUUCAGUGUUUUAUGUGUUACGGGAUCCAUUGUGUUUUAUGCCUUACAGUUGACCGCGUAUGCUUCUAUUUCAUGUUUGUAUGGUUUAUUAUUUCCACAUUUUUGUUUAUUGACAGCUGCUAGUGACCCUCUAUAUUCUUAAGCAUUUCUAUUGAUUAAAAUUUAUCGAAUUGAAUAUUGUCUAAUAGGUUUAACCUAAUACGGUUUUUUUUUAGUAAGGUGUUGAAAUGCUUCGUUAUUUUUCUCUAUUUCUAUCAAUCUAGAAUUGCCAUUGUCAAUGCAGUACAGUGUAUUGCAUUUUUCUGCAUAACCUGGCUUACAGGUAAUCAGAUGUCACUUAUCCUGGUAACGAAAUAAUAGGUUUAACAAAAUAAUUUUUUCAAAUUAAGUAGUUUUUUAAAUAGGUAGAAAAAAUUCAAAAUUUCAUGCCAUGACACUUGUAAAAUUGUUUAUAACAUAGGUCAAAACUAAAGAUGCAUUACAAAUCAAAUAAUAUUAGGAUUUGG